rnacentral:lncRNA from 7 species
AGAACCUUCUGGAAAGUGACCAAGAGAUGAGAAGAUUUUCACAGAUAAUCCUUGGCAACAAAAAGAAAAGAAUCCAAAGGACUAAUUUUUCUGAAGAUCAACAGAGGCUACAAGUUGGGAGGUGAUGAACCAAGUAAAUUGGAUAAUGUUCAGAAAGUGAGAUUAAGAAGAAAGGAAAGAAUCUUACUCAGGAAACAACUGAUUCAGUAGUUUUCUAGGACUUCACGAGUAGUGGCCAAGAAGAGAGAAUAAGUAGUUAAUCUCAGUUUAGGAAAGGUGGAACAGGAGAUGUCUUUGCUCUAGUACUGAAGAGGAAAAAAGUUAAACUGGUGGAAGAAAUGCUUGUCUCCACAUUUUUUCCUAGUACAAAAGCAGUUAAGAAACAAUCUCGGCUUGCUUGGAGGGCAAGAUCUGGGCUGCCAUAUAUACUUGAGAACCAUCUGCCUGAUAAGUUCAUUGGAUUAACAUCCUAACGUAAUAACAUUUUUAUCUCCAGGUUUUACUUCUGAUAUAACGUUGAUUUAAAACCAAGCUCAGGUUUUCUAGGAAUCCGAAUAAUGUUUAUGUAACACUUGCAGUUGACAUUACCUGUGAAAUGUGCUGAUCUGCACUGCUCUGGAACAGUUUUUGUGUACUUACAGUAAAAAUUAUCUAUUGCAAAGGUCUAAUUUUUAAACAUAUUCAGUGUUGAAUUCUAGAUUCAGUAAACUGCUUUUGCUUUUUUGCUAAUAACUAUUUACACUGGCAUAAAUCACCUAGGUGACUUAACAGACAAAAUAGGUUUGAACCCCUCUUUUUGAAGUUUGUAUAAAUAGUUUGCUUCCCCCAUUUUUAAUUGUUGCAGUUCUCUCUCAUUUGUUCUACAAAGUGGAUCAUAUUGCUUCUUGAUAGAAGUAAUUUUGCUUGCAAUUUAAAGGACUUACCCUUCAUCUUCUCUGUUAGGAAGAAUAAACAUUUUGUAUUCCAUAAUGGUCUUAUUAACAGAAAUUAUGAGGAGAUUAAACAACGUAGUUUAAAG